rnacentral:rRNA from 1 species
UACAGAGGGGGCAAGCGUUGUCCGGAAUUACUGGGCGUAAAGAGCUCGUAGGUGGUUUGUCGCGUUGUUCGUGAAAACCUGAGGCUUAACCUUGGGCGUGCGGGCGAUACGGGCAUCAUUGGAGUUCGGCAGGGGAGACUGGAAUUCCUGGUGUAGCGGUGAAAUGCGCAGAUAUCAGGAGGAACACCGGUGGCGAAGGCGGGUCUCUGGGCCGAUACUGACGCUGAGGCGCGAAAGCCAGGGGAGCAAACGGG